ensembl:lncRNA
AGAAGAAGAGAAACGUGACAAGAAAAAAAAAACUGCCUCGUUACUUUCUCAAUUAUUUUAAUGUCUGUCAGAAAAUAAGACGCCAUCUCAAUCAGAAGGGACCACGUUGCUGUUUGAACGGAACUCGAUCCGCUGAGCCUGAAGGACGUUGGUCUAACCGGCGACCAGGAAGUAAAUCAAUCCAAGCGCUUUGCAGGUUUGAAUCUAUACUUUGUAAGAAGAGUAAUGAUGUAAAAAUGAUAUGAUUAUAAUAACACCCUUCAUGAUUAAUCAACCUCAAUUACUGUUUGUCACCUUCGUAGUUCCCCAAACUGUUUAUUUUGGCCCAGUCGACGUUUCGUCAGUGACACAAAGGACGUCUGAAUCACUGGUGCACAGCACAUAUUCAAUCUUGUGUCCUUUUAGGACUUUAAACUCCAGGUUCUCCCCGAGCGCCUGUUGCCCCACAGCUUGUUGGAUGAGUGACAGCUGCCUCACGUUUUACCGCCUCCUUUCUUCACAUAAAGCUGUCAGUCACAGCGAGAUGACAGUGAGAAGAGGGAAUGGACCUCACCGGCUGGCUGACGGAGAUGUUUCAAUGUGUUUCUGUGUGCAGUCCAGCUGACGGAGUCUCUUACUCCUACUGUUCAUCUGUAGAUAAUCUAUUCAUGUGUCUAUCUGCUGAUCAAUAAUUCCAGCUCUCUAUGUUUAAAUGUAAUUAUUAAUCCAUGUUCUGCAGAUCGAUCUGAGUGUUUUAAAGAAGGCGUUCACUUGGUGGCCCUCUGCCCCCCGAGGGACCACCGUCCCCCUUUGCUCUGCACCGAAACAAUUUAGGCUCAGAGAACAACCGCCAUCAAUUUAUUUAUUGCCUCCGAGCUAAUCAACAUCUGGAAACGAGCGGUAACCUUAUAACCAAUAUAAAUCCAAUCUGGGAGAGAACGGGAUGAGAUAUUUCCAUUUAGUUUUCUGAUUGAAGUCUCGGUGUUGCUUGUUCUGUCCAUCAACCGUCCACGCGAGUUCCUCCCGACCCCCCCGUCUCCACCACACACCGCUCGCAAGUGAAUGACCUCACCUGGUGUGUAUUUUGAUCAGUGUGUCUGAUUCAGGUUGAUCGCACACACAGCAAGACGGAAGCCUCGGCCCCGCUCUGUGAUUCCAUUCAGCCGUCCGCCAGGAAAUCAUUUAAACUGAUCCUCAACGGGUUCCAAAGGCGCCGCUUUUUCUUUCUUCCUCCGGUCUGGUCUCUGAUAAUGUGGCUCUUAACUAGAAAUCCCCCUUUUCACCACACGGCCUGU